UAUGCCGAUCAGAACAAAGAUGGCGGACUUCCGAGUCGCAAGAGUUAACACUGUAGUCUACAAAACAUACAAAACAUCUUCAAAGCAGCAAAACCUGGGGGAAAUAGAAAAGGACUUCUCAGAGAAGAGAGCCCGUGGAGACCUWUGAGAGAUUAAAGCUGACUGUAUUCACCCUGCCUGCCUCUUCGACUGAGAGGGACUGUCAGUGACGAGCAAAUGCCAGAACUGUAUGAUAUUCACACAAAGCCUCAGCAGCAUGACAGGGCCAUCAGAGGCGACUCCUUCCAACGUCGGCACMCGUGCUGCGACAUAAAUUAUAUAAUGUCUGAGGAGAGCGGUCACAUGAUGCAGCGCGCACCUAAAGUGUUUAAGAUGCAGAGCUUGACAUGAUCUCAUCAGACUAUAAAUGAGUUCCCAGCAGGCUUGGA